AUACAACCUAGUUGACGGAAGACCUCACCACAACUUCCACUCUCGACGGCUGCCUUGGUACUAAAGCUGUAAGGCGUGAACUGAUCGAGAGUACAAUGAGUAAUGUGAGUAAGGGAGCUCAAAAAAUUUUUCAUAGGAAAAGUGAAAUGCUCUGUAAACAAGAUAUUUGAGAACUCGAAUGGGGGCCACGUUGCAAUGCAGUGGCAUGGUCUUUUCCACAUCGUUUGAUUUUGCACAAACACCCCCAGGGUGUGGCAUCCAGGAUCUCAAGUUGAAAUUGAUUUGAAACAGCAUAAGUUUCUACUAGAAAAACAACUAAAACUCACGAAGGUUUGUUUAAAGACGAUCAUACGUAAAAUUUUGCCUCUCAUUUAUUUUGCUAUUCAAUGAAGUUGGACGCCCCAGAGAACGCAACAACUUUGUUCUUCCGUUUUCUACCUUUGUUUUUUUUUUUUUUUUUUUAACUGUAAAACCAAAGUAAAAACAAACUUGACUUUCGUGAUUUUCAUUCAAUUUUGAAUCGAAAUCACGUAUUUUUAGUUAUCUGUAGAAUUUAGCCAAAAAGGAAAAAGUGGGAAGGCCCAACCCUUCUCACUUUUGUCAAAAUCUGAAAAAAAGGACAUCUCUUAGAAUUCAAUAAGUAUCACACAUUAUACUCAAAAUUAAACGCUGAUUUCCAAAUUAUUAUUAGUUUUUCGCUAGACCAGCCGAAUAAACGGAAUAAAAGUGCUGCUGACGUGUCAGUAUUGUACAUCGGUUUUCUACGCUUAUUUUAAUAACUAUAAGCCCAACGCAAAAGCAAACUUGAUUUUCGUGAUUGCCAUUCAAUUUACAACCUAACUCAUGUUUUGCUAUGAAAAAAACGAAACAAAUUUUAAGCCCGACUUUUUGUUAAAAAAACCUGGUUAAAAAUUUUGACUGGAAAUUCGAUAAGAACUAACCUGCUAUACCAAAUUAAGCGCUGAUACCGAAAAAAGUAAUAGUUUUCUCAUUCAUUAAGUGAUUUUGGAAUAAAAUGGAAUAAAAGUGGUUUAAUUGCAACCGCUUUGAAUUGGAAAAAUUCAUAAUUUCCAAGUCAAAACCAAAUUGAUUUUUAACAUCCUAAAUUUUGAAUCUAAAAAAUACUACGGCUAUUGGCUGGAAGGAAGCGUGGUAGUUAUAGCGCAAAUGCCUUUUUUAUUGUAAUUACUCAAAAGCAGAAGUCCUACAUGAAAACAAAGUGCUUUUUUGUGAUGCUCAGUUGAAUUUUGAAUCUAAUCCCAAGUAGAGUGAUUACAAUUUAAAAGGCAUUUGCGCUAUAACUACCACGCUUGCAUUUUAUUCAAAAACAACAUAAUUAACGGAAAACUAAUAUUCCAGUCGGAAUCAGCGUUUAAUUUUGUGGAUACCGUGUGUGUUUUUAUUGAAUUCUAAGAGAUGGCGAUUUUUGCAGAUUUGGAGGAAAAUAAGAAGGCCUUCCAACUUUUUCAUUUUUGUCUAAAUUUUAGACUAGGGGCCCUCACUCAGGUUCGGGAAGUUCCCGAUAGGGUUGGGCUGUAGUUGGCCAUGUAGCCUAGUUGUUAGGGAUUCGAGACGUGUUCAGCGAGAAACUAAUAAAUGUUCAGUGCGUUCCGUUUCAAACAUUCUUUUGGCUACUCUUGAAUACACUGAAAUUUGCUAUUUUUUCGUACCAACCUGAGUACGGAACGCCGUUUGAUCCAUUUUUUUAUAUAGACAACUCUAAUCGCUAGCAGAUCGUUUAUGUUGCAAAUAAAUAGCUAACUAGCAUUGUCAUCUAACGGUAAAAACGACCCUAAUAGGAGGGAUUUGAAUAGACCACGCCUUCAACGAAGAAGGACUUCACUACAUAUUGAAUUUAUCGAUCGAUUGUUAGGCCCAUUUCGAUCGCUACUGUACAGUCAAUGGCGGCAUGGUGCGGCGACGCGCAUUGGAACUUGGAAGAAGUGUAUGCAUGUGCGACUUGAUGUGGCGUUGCAUGUGGGAGGCCCUGUUGGUAGUGGUAAGCGUACAGACUGCGAAGUAAGUGUGGUAAGCGUAUUAAUAAAUUAGGGCAAGGCAAUUAGUUAUGCCAUAAUAUCAAACUUAGUUCGCAGACUGGUCAUUUGAUGAUACGUGUGCAUAGUGAUAGUGCUUGGAUGCCUUAAGAGGGAAUCGCACAACAUAGCCAUAGAGCUAAAAGUCAUAGAAUAUUUUUAAAAUUGUUAUUUAAUUUUGUGUUGUUUCAGCAGUAGUAUGUCCUUCAAUAAUCUGUUAUGUUCAACCAUGGAAUGAGUCGCAUGUGACUUAAGUCAACCAAACGCGGCAACGACACAAUUAGUCAGCAAUGGAAUCAGUCAGUGAAAAACAACACAUUCAUUCCUGAGGAUGGUUUUGAGUUUAUCUAUGCUUAUUGUAUGUUUAUUUUUUAUUGUUAUUAUUUUAAAAUUAAUUUCUGAGGUUUUUCUUUAGCAUGAUUGAAAUUUGCCAUGUUUUCAGGCCAACUGGAAGGUUUUCCUCUUUUUCACAGAACUUUACCAUUUUCAUGGUAUGCUUAAUUGCUUGUCAGUGGAUUGUCACUUGGCAUCAUUUAUAAAUGGAACAGUCCUUAUCAGCAAUUUUAUGAUGCACUUCUUAAAUACACCAAUCCCUCAGAAAAUAUUCAAAUUGGAAUUAUGGAAAUUUCUGCCCUUCAUGCACAACUGCACAAUGAUGGGUUUGUAAAAAACAAGCUUAAAAUAACAAACCAGCAGUUUUUUUGGUUUAGCUUACGCAUGCAGCUCUAUGACAUGUUGAAGUUAGCUAAAUUGUUAUUAAUCAUAGGACUAGGUGGUAUGAAAUGAAAUGUCUUCUCUUGGAAGUUUGUGUCAAUGGAAUUUGUUUGAGAUGACUCUUGAGGCAGGAAGCUUUUCCUGCUUCCUACAAAAAGGGACAUUGGAUGCCUUGAUGUCUAAUACCAACCAAGUGUCAUGGCAAAGAUAGGUAAAAGAUAUAUCAAUAUAGAUUAUACUCUGAGUGAUGGGGACAUGGUAAAAAGAGAGAGCAGUAUGAAUAUUUGCUGCAUAAUUUACUUCUAUUAUUUUUAUCUUCAAGGCAUCUUACUGACUUCUAUUGGUUUUAUUUGUAGAAAGAAUAUCUUGAGUGGGAGAAUUGGAUCACAAUUGACUAGAUGUUUUACUAUUUUAAAUGAGUUUAUUGCAAAGAAUUUUUUACUGAUUCAUGUUCUGUUUCUGUAAUGUAGGUAGAAUAAUUGCAAUGUCGUGGUAGUAAUUCGCGAGAUAUGCCAAUAGGGUUUCGCUGUUUUCAAUUCGCAAUCGUAAUGGAUUCGAAGAGGAUAUUGAUGGAGUUUUGGUAUAAAAAAGUAUAAGUACAUGUUCGUUGGAAGGGCAACCGAAGAGUUCCGGAUCCUUUUACUAUCGCACAUGUUAUGGUAUUUUUACAAAAUCAUUGAAGUUCUUAUCUGGACCCCCUUGUUUUCUGUGGACCCGUUUCCCCUUGACUUAUAUUAUUUUCUUUAACCCUUUAGUGCGUGUAAAACUAAAGUCUAAAAGAAGAAGAAUGAUUCAAAAACUGUGGGAGAGAAUCAUCAAAGAAUUAUACUCGUUUAGGUAAUCCAAGGAAAUAAGAAAGAGUAUUAACUCGGCGCAGUCUUCGAUUCCAUCUUUUUAAAAGCUGUUUUUACUGUGCAUGGAACUUUUUUGGUCGAGACGUUAUGGGUGUCUUAAAGGCAUUGAAGGUUGCGUUAGAUGUCAUAAUUCCCAACAAAAAGGGAACGUUGAAGAUCCCAUGUGGCGAUUUGAAUUAGUGGCAAUGUUACGGUGUAGAUAACUUCAUAAAGUGUGACGCUAGCUGAUGUAAACCGCACCAGCUGUGUUAUUACCGAGUCUGUCUCAUUUUUUUCGCCUAGCAGGAAAAGGUUGUGAGAAUAGCAGAAGAAGAGGAAAUUGCAGUAAACCCGGUUUUGAAAGAAGCCAAACUUUCCGAUGAUAUGGGAGCCCAGCCUGUGUAAACAAAAACCCUGCGUAGGCUUCUAAAAGUGAAGAACAGCUCUGACGUCUUUGGUAAGCGGUAAAGGUACUGCUUAUUGAAGUGUCAGAUGACAGUUUUAAGAAUGGACUCUUUCCUUUUCUUUGCCCUAUGAAUCUGUGCUUGGAACUGGCAGGUGGCGUUUAGUAAUGGUAUCCAAUCUUUAUUCUUAAAGCCCAGAGGUGUUCUUAACUUUUCAGGGAGAUUGAUUGAUGAUACUUGUUGAUUAAUCCAUGAAAAAUACCAAUACAUGGAUAAGUGGAGGUUCGUGAGCAGACGAACCAUUAAAAGGACUUUGCGCAGUCCAGCUGCAUGCCAGCCAGAUACUAGUAGAACCCAAAACAUGGUUUUGACAAGUACUGUCAUAUUUUGGUUGCAGGUUUUCACUAAAUACCAAGCUGAUCCUACGAGCUACGCCAGUUUUACCUACAAAUGUUUAGCGUUUCGUGCUGCAACUAGUGUUGAUAUUCUAGGAUGUUAUGCCUAAAAUUUGAAUUCAGCUAUCAGAGAUUAGCAAAAUGCAAGCGGAAACUCCAGAUGGCGUUGAUGUGCGUCUAUGAUGAAGAUUAUGAGUGACAAGUUAAAUGGGUGUUUGUUACAUUACCCUGUUAUGUGUUUCAAAGGAUUUUUCGUCAAACAGGUUACGAUUUCUGUUUGUAUGUGUUGGUGUUUCGCCUUGUCAGCCAUGCCAGCUGCUGAACCAGCAGCCUGCACUCCUGCUAUCAAUGUACCACAAGAGAUCCUGACACUUUUAGAAGGCCACUAUUGCUUACAUGAAGAUCCCCAUCUAGUUCAAUCAACAACAGUCUUCAUCUACUUUGUGUUGCUAACCAUCAGCACUCAGCAUCCCAGGUAUCCAGAUUUCCAGGUUUCUCUGGUAAGCCACCACCCUUCAGCUCUUCGUUGUGGCUUCUCUUCCUCUCUUCUUAGUCUGCUGAAUCCCAACAUUGAAUAAGGGUAAUCGUCAUUGCCUUUCCAUGAAAAUCUUCAUUGUUAAUCCUGCUGUUCUUCUCCCCGUUACUUAGCCAGUUCACAUGGAUAUGCUUUAAAAACAUCUCCAUUUUUUGGACUGCAAAUAUUCAUCUUCCUUUGGUACAACACUGCCGUUUUGACAAUUUCGGUAGUUUCGUCCCCAGUGGACCACACGCAACUACAUUUUCUUCGUCUUCCUGUCGUUGUCUACGACUUCACCUCAUCGCUGUCUUCGUUGACGUCUUCGCCUUCAUCUCCAUCUCGUCGUCUUCGCCUUCAUCCCCUUUUCGUCGUCUUCGCCGUCUUCGCAUUCAUCUCCCGUUUCGUUGUCUUCGCCGUCUUUGUCUACGCCAUCACUUCGUCGCCGGCUUCUGCUUCGCUCUUCACGUAGGGAAUUCACCGUGGAUCGUCGCUCUGGUAUUGUUUUAUUUUGUAUUGUUAUGUUUAAGUUAACCCGUUGGCUGCCACCCCGUUUGCGUCCCAUUUUUUUUGUAGCUUUUAGGGACCGGCCGCAAUGGCCUUCGCCGCAAGGCGCCUUAG